CAGACAUUCAUUUUAGGCAAAAAAAAAAUCCUUUACAACUCCUUUAAGUUUUGCUUGUUGUUUCCACCAGGCCUCUUCUAUUUAUCAUUGAGAACUGUUUCUACCUGUUCAUGUCACAAGCCUUGCGUUAUCUUCGUCAUCCGUCAGUCCACCCCAGAGACAAAGAACGCAUGAAGCAGGAGCUCGCCUCUGAACUGAGCACUCUGGUCUCCAGCCUAUCAUGGUACAUGCGAUGUGGCAUCCCUUCCUCUCCUGCAGCUGGCCAAAAAGGUAGCUCUUGAAGCCCAGGAGCCAAAAAUUCAGCUGCUCCAAGCAUUUUUAUACGACAUGUACAGAGAUAGGAACUAUUGGGGACUGAUUGAAGAAUGUACAUAAUCUCAUUGACCAAGUCCAUGGACCACAACCAACCAUUAGACUGCUACCACCAAGAGACCACCGACCAUUGUUUUGAUACAGGUUUGUUAACCAAGAAGACCAGAAAGUAUCUUUUUAAAAUGCCACAUAUUCAUCAUGUAUACAAGCAUAGGCAGUGCAGAUUUAAGUAACAAAGCAACCAAUCUGAUUUUGAAUUGCUGUAGUCAGAGAUGAGGAAAUGGUUUGGUUGAUGUGUUGCACGGCCCUUACAGGAGACUAAACUGCCUCAUGGUGGUGUCAUUGCAUGCAGAGCUUGACACCACCAUGCCCACUGUGCCGCCCUUCAUUUUUCUUUUUGUAUGAUGGUUUGUUUUUUUCCUUGAAGACGGCUUGUAUUUUUGACAUCCUAUUUAUACUGAAAGUAAAAGAAACUUGAUAACA